CACGUAGGGGACGAGCGUUGUCCGGAUUCAUUGGGCGUAAAGCGCGCGUAGGCGGCUCGGAAAGUCGGUCGUGAAAUGCCGGGGCUCAACCCCGGGACUGCGUCCGAUACUCCCGAGCUGGAGGCAGGUAGGGGAGAUCGGAAUUCCUGGUGUAGCGGUGAAAUGCGCAGAUAUCAGGAGGAACACCGGUGGCGAAGGCGGGUCUCUGGGCCGAUAUCGACGCUGAGGAGCGAAAGCGUGGGGAGCGAACAGG
rnacentral:rRNA from 1 species